UACGAAGGGGGGCUAGCGUUGCUCGGAAUCACUGGGCGUAAAGGGUGCGUAGGCGGGUCUUUAAGUCAGGGGUGAAAUCCUGGAGCUCAACUCCAGAACUGCCUUUGAUACUGAGGAUCUUGAGUUCGGGAGAGGUGAGUGGAACUGCGAGUGUAGAGGUGAAAUUCGUAGAUAUUAGGAAGAACACCAGUGGCGAAGGCGGCUCACUGGCCCGGUACUGACGCUGAGGCGCGAAAGCGUGGGGAGCAAACAGG
rnacentral:rRNA from 1 species